UACGUAGGGACCAAGCGUUGUUCGGAAUCACUGGGCGUAAAGCGCACGUAGGCGGAUUGUUAAGUCGGCUGUGAAAGUCCAGGGCUCAACCCUGGGAUGCCGGUCGAUACUGCCGGACUAGAGUUCGGAAGAGGCGAGUGGAAUUCCCGGUGUAGCGGUGAAAUGCGCAGAUAUCGGGAGGAACACCAAUGGCGAAGGCAGCUCGCUGGGACGUUACUGACGCUGAGACGCGAAAGCGUGGGGAGCAAACAGG
rnacentral:rRNA from 1 species